GGACGGGGUAGUGUGCGGUACGUCAAAAGCAAGGUUUAGCUUACUGCCCUUCCUCCAACUUAAAGUGCUUUAAAUCCGAAGACCUUCUUCACACACGCGGCAUGGCUGGAUCAGGCUUUCGCCCAUUGUCCAAUAUUCCCCACUGCUGCCUCCCGUAGGAGUCUGGACCGUGUCUCAAUU
rnacentral:rRNA from 1 species